UGUGUGUGUAUCAAAGUUCAACUUUGUC
rnacentral:piRNA from 1 species